rnacentral:lncRNA from 1 species
UAUGAUAUUUACAACAAAUUAAACACUGAAUGAAGCAUCAAUUGCUACGUGAUUUUAUCACAAAGGCAAGGUAUAACUCAUCUCUUCCUUUCUCUUAAGCAAAUGACCUGAAUACCAUGAGGUAUCCACCCACACCUAAAAUUUAUCAUCCUAGUCAUCCCUGUUUUCUAUCAAGUUUUAUUCUUUGAUAAAAUCCCAUGAGCUUUCCCUUCAAAAUGGGUAGGAACAAACCUCAGAAUAUUCCAUCUUUAUGACACCACUGAAAAUGUUGAAUUCAGUUUUAGUGCUUUUGUUCAUUUAGGUAAGUGAUAUAAACAAAACAAUGGCAUUCUUGGCUUUUAUGGUAUGACUCGUGUGUGUGUGUGUGUCUGUGUGUCUGUGUCUGUGUGUCUGUGUGUGUCUGUGUGUCUGUGUGUGUCUGUGUCUGUCUGCCUGUCUGUCUGUCUGUCAGAGGACAACUUAUGGGACCUGUUUUACUGUUUUUUUCCUUGCACAGUGGGAUCCCAGGCUCGCACUCAGGUGAUUUGAUUGUGCAGUAAAUGAUCUACAAGCUGAGCCAUCUCAGUGGCCUAUCUUUUUGUCCUAAUUUUUGUUGUUUCUAACUGACUGUAUUUGAAAAUGUGCUUCAGUUUUCAAAAACAAUUUACAUUUGUGUAUAUUUUUCUAAUUAUUUGGAAGUGUUUCUCGGAUAUCUAACUUUCCAAGCAAUAUAAUAUUUAUAAUACACUCAUGCAGGUCCAGCACAGAAGUGGGUUUUUAUAAAUAGAAGUGAUUUCCCUAUUAUUUUUCACCAAAUGAUUAUGGUUUCCGUGGCUUCUCUGAAACUUUCCAGGAGUGAAAUAUGAGUCUCAGGCAUCAGGCUGUGAUUAUGGAGGAUAAGAUGUUAUGAAGAAGAGCAUUAAUACUGAAUUCAUUUCUAGAUUGUCAGCACUGUAGAACAGUUCUAACUGUAAAUAUCUACAUGUUCUAGAUUUAAUUUUUUUGUUUUGGUUGUCCAAAAGUGAGAAUAACAUGUUGAUGGGGAAGAACAGGAAGACUAACCACUUUUGAAUAUAAUCAAGACUUAAUAGAACAGAAUAAAUUUUAUUCUUUAUAAUGUGCUAAAGCACAAGCCAAAAAUGAUCUCUACAAUAAGGCUGAUAUGGUUUAGUUGUGUUAAAUAAUACUUCAUUGUAAGCAGUUUUACACAUUUGCAAUUUUUCAGAGUUCAAUUAUUUUUGAAUACAUGGGGAAAUUUUCCUUUCUGCUUUUAAUUUUUCUGGUGGCAAUUAUAAGAAGUAGAGGAGAAAGUUAAACUCUGUGUCUUUCAUCACAAACUUUUGAUAUUAUAAAACAAUGUAGCUGGAAUAAAUCAUAAAUAAUUCACAUUACUCAGAAUAAAACUGUCCUAUACAUUACCAGAGUGAAGUGUUAGGUGUUUAAUACAAGCUAGGAACUUGAAUACAGAGCUAAACUUCAUACUUUUAAUAAAAAUAUGGUUAUACGUGACUGAAAAUCUCUUGUUAUGGGGCUAGGAAAGAUGGCUCACCAGUUAAGAGCACUGGCUGAUCUUCCAAAGGACCUGGGUUCAAUUCCCAGAAUCCAUAUGGCAGUGUGCAACUCCAGUUCCAGGGGAUCUAGCAUCCUCAAACAGGCAUCAUAAAGGCAAAAACCCCAAUGUACAUAAUAAAUAAAUAGAAAGUUUUUAAAACUGCAGUUAUUUUACAUAUGUAUGUACCCUUUAAGUUAAUGUUGUCUUCCUUUUAUUUCAUUCUAUUGCUUCAAACUUUUCUAACUUUUAUAAGAAAUAACUACUUCACUUUAUCUGGUAAAAACAGAAGCUCCACUCUGUCACGGUAUGGGAAGCUAGAGAACUAGUGUAGCCUUUCCGAAACUAAUCUGGAUUCACUGUAACAAGCAAAGACAACAGACAUUCAGGCUCAUGACUUGACUGCCAGGCAGUGUGUUGCAGGGAUGCUGGCAACCCUGCAGUCUACAGUACAGUGUGAUCAGCAGACAAUUACAGGAUUUAUUCCUGGGAAGGUGGCACCAGGUCAAAGUUUCUCCAUGGAGAAUUCUCCACCUAGAAAAUCGACUUCAGUUCUGAAAGUAAUAGCCUUGAAACUUUCUGUGCCCCUUGAAUAAAUCUAAUAUUUUAAUCAAGACAUAAAUACUAUAAAUUUUGUUUUUCCAAUUUAUUUCAUUAAUUUUAUAAUUACUUUAAAUUUUCUGUUAACAUUGUAUUUUUUAUGUACAACAUGAUGUCUUGAAGCACACAGGCCACUGUGGAAUGGCUAAAAUAUAACAAGUUCACUACCUGUGUAGUUAUUUUCAUAGUGAGAGCAUAGCUUACUUUAACGUUUUUGUUUAUUUGUUUGUUUUUCUUUUUUGAGGCAGAGUUUCUCUGUGUAGCCCUGGCUGUCCUGGAACUCACUUUGUAGACCAGGCUGGCCUUGAACUCACAGAGAUCGACCUGCUUCUGCCUCUGCUUCCUGGGUGCUGGGAUUAAAGGCAUGUGCCACCACUGCCAGGAUUUUUAUAUUAAUCUUUUUUAAAUGAAAUUAUUACAAAAUUUUUAAUGCCUGCUAUGAAAUUUAGGUAGCAAAGUCAUUUGAUUCCCCAUCAAUAAUAGUAAAAACGGAAAUCAAGAAAUAAGAUCUUCAUAGAAAUUGGAAUUUUAUAUCUUCCUCUUAUUUUUUAUUUUCCUUUCUCACUAUAUUUAUGCUAGUUUGAUAUAAAUGUAUUCAUAUAAUAUUGGUUUACUUUCAAAUUACAUCAUUUGUUGACUAUAUAUAUUUUUUUCUACAGCAAAAUAUAAACAUAUAAAUAAAUAAGUUAGUUUUUAAUUUUUCCAAUAGAUUUCCAAUGUUAAAAUAUUUAUAUGAGGUUGAUGGGGGAAGUUCUUCUGUAUAUAUGUUUCUCUUAUUGGUUGAUGAAUAAAACACUGUCUGGUCUAUAAGGCAGGAAGAUAGGUGGGACUACGACAAGAAGAAUUCUGGGAAAGGUAGGCAGAGAGGGCCCACCAGAACAGUCACCAUGUAGGCCACCAAAGGAGUAACAGGUCCAGACCCUUCUCAGGUAAGAUAAGACCAUGUAGAAAUACUUAAAAUAAUAGAAGUGGGCUAAUAAUUAAGAAGAGCUAGCCAAUAAGAACCCUUAGUCAUUGACCAACAAUUUUAUAAUUAAUAUAGCAUCUGCGUGUUCAUUUGGGGCUGAAGGGCAGAGGGACCAGCCAUGACAAAGAACCUCUCAUAAACAUGAGAUACAUCAUAAUUUUUACUGGUAAAUUGCUUAGUAAAUGCAUUAUAUUACUGGAUUAUGUUCAAUAUAAUUACAUAAAUAUGAAAAUUGAUAAAUCAAUACAUGAAAACCAAUGCUGAACAUAUUUCAAGGAGAUGGAUAUGUCUGGGUGUUUUUUUCCCUAUAGGUUUUGUGUAUGAAUGUUAUGUAUUGCUAGAACAAGUUAAAGUUUAGCAAUAAUUCUAUUCUUUUCUCUUCUUUAACUUUUUAAACAUUUUUCCUUUUAUUGAAAAUAGAUUCUUUUCUCACAUAAUAUAUCCUGAUUACAGUUUCCCCACCUCCUCUCCUAUCCAGAUCCACUUCCUUUCUGUGUCACAUUGGAAAAGAACAGGAUUCUAUGAGAUAAUGUUGAAAUAAAAAAAAUAAAAUGUAAAAAGAUACAACAAUAACUAUCACAUCAAAUUUGGACAUGACAAGCCAACAGAAAGAAGAGUCCAAGAGAAGACACUUGGACCUCUGAACAAUUUUUGUGUUCCAUUUAGAGCUGAGUGUUCCAAGUUCUCUCAUUCUCUGUAUAGUGUCUGGCUGUAGGUCUCUAUAUUUGUUUCCAUCUGCUACAGGAGGCAGCUUCUCUGAGGAUGGCUGAAUAAGGCACUGAUCUAUGAGUAUAGCAGCUAUUUUCAUUCUUAUUUGACAUUUUAAUUUAGAUAAGUGCUAAAACAUCCCUUUGUAGAUGCAAACAGAGGUUUUUUUUUUUUAUAUAGUUGUAACACAAUACUUGGGCCUUUGAAGUUUUUGUGUCCCAAAUUACAUGUUCAUCUACCAUGCAAAAAAAAUUAUUUUUGAAGGUAUAUCAGCUGAAAUUUCGUCAAUGUACAUUCACUUGUGUGGAAAGAACAGAAUUGACACCAGAUGUGAAAUUCACUUUCCACACCUCCUGCCGCAGUUAUAGCAUAUUGUCACUCAUCCAUAUCUUUAGUAUCACUGCUGGUGUGCUCAAUCACUCGGGGGAAAUCCUAACAAAAUCCCAAGGGUGUGAAAAAAUGACUUUAUUCUUAUGGCAGUAAAGUAGCAUUCUCAAUAGGAAUGUCUUCCCCACAAAUCCUUCUCUUAGGGAAUUUGUGGGAAAUGCAUAUCUCUACAGCACUCUUAACACUCUACAUGGGCCUGGGAAGUCUUUAUGAACUCCUGUGUGGAUACUUUAGUUGAGGACCAUUGUUUCCAAGUAUCUGUGAUACACUAGACACUUAAGAGUAAGUAAAGGACAACUGAUGUCCUUCUUACAAUAUUUUAUUAAAUGAAUAUUUCUUAUAAAUUUACCAAAUAAGUGCCAAACCUAAAUCAGUGUGGUUAGUGGAAGAGGCUUGGAUUUAAAAGUCUAAAAGCAUGGUUUCAAUCAUUAACUCUACUGCUAGCUGGCUAUCUUCCUGUAGAAGACUUGGUACACUUUGCUGCACCUAAGUUUUCUCAUUUAAAGACUAGACAAGAAUAGUAUUUCUUGAAGUUAAAUAACAUGCUUUGAGUACACACUUGGUUUAUUAUCAGGAAAAAUAAUCGGCACACUAAAUGCAUAACCUGGAAUACACUUUUUAGAGGGUAUCUAAAGUGAGUAAUUUGGAGUUUAUUUCAAAGAAAAUUUAUUUAAAAAAUCAAAUAACCAGAUAUGUAUUAUAAACAUUAAUAAGGGUGAGAAAUACUGGAAUUAUAAUUAUCAGUAGUAUCCAGUAUUAUAUGAUUUUAUGAAAAUCACUUAGAAGAAAUUUGGAAAAUGAGGAGGGAAAGGAAAAGGGAUCUUAGGAGGAACAAAUAUUUCUACAGAGUCUCAUAAAAUGCCAUAGUCAUGGAUGGCAACUAUUAGCCAGCAUAAGAAACUCCGAAAGGCAAGUUCAGGCAUAUUAUCCAACUAAGCACUCAUGGAUAGAUGUUUUCAAGACUGGAGACCAAUUAUGUAAGUCAGACUUCCAUAACCUUCUUUCCGUGAGCUAAAAACCUUCUCUCUGUGUCCACACAGCCAAGGGUGUGGAAAUCUGAUGUAAUUACCCAGGCAGGGCUGGCGAAUAAAACUGACCACAAAUUGUGGAAGACUGAGCUAUACACUUACGUCAGCUAUCUUCUCUGGUCAGAUUGUCCAAGUAACCUGCUAGCCCUUUUCAUUCCUUGCCUAUGUUGACACAGCCAAUCCCAGGGCUGGACUUUAAUUACGGCAGCAUACCUCUAAAUAAAUUGGAGUUUUCCAUAUCAGUAAAAAAAAUAUAUCCUUUAAAUCUCUGUAACUUCGAGCCCAGCCUGGUCUACAAGAGUUAGUUCCAGGACAGCCUCCAAAGCCACAGAGUAACCCUGUCUCAAAAAACAAACAAAAAAUUAUCCUUUAAAAAGUGAUAUAUUCUUCAAAAUUUUAAGAAGUAGCUUCAUUUUUCUUUUGUUACAUCCAAUUUUCCUGAAAUUUUUAGUAAAAUAUUAGGAAUAAGAUGAAACUUUUAAUCUUUUCCCCUUCUGUAUGUUAAUCCAUUCUUAAAGGACAAAAUAAAUUUCAUUGACAUAAAAGCCUUAAUGUGUGUGUGUGUGUGUGUGUGAGAGAGAGAGAGAGAGAGAGAGAGAGAGGAGAGUGUUAUAGAUACAACGAAACCUAUCAAAAAAGUAGAAAGUGAAAUGUAAUAUGAGUCCUUGCUUUAAAAUAAGCUAAUUCACCAAUGGUUUCCUCUUCUAUUCUAAUUUUUAAAAUCACUGUAUUUGGUAUAGUCUUAAAUAUUUCUUAAAUUCCAAAUACCUUUUCUCUAAAUAACCAUUGAAACACUUUGUUAUUUUACCAUUUCCUCUAAUUCAACCUUGUGGCAUAAGGACACCAGAAAAAAAAAAAAUCUUAUGACUUCUCUAAAUAUUUUUCUCUGGUUAAAAAAGGUCAAAAAUUCAAAACAUUAAGAAAACAAAAUAACUGGUGGCUGCCAUUAUAGUACUGCUGAGGAGUUUGUAUGUGCUGUACUGUGAUCAAUGGUGCUUUAUUUUAGAGAUCUGUCUGGGAUUCUCUUUGGAUCCUGCAAUGAUGGACUUGGUGUUGAAGCUGUAUUGAUCGGUUACUGAAGAAUUUUCCUCUGUUUCACAUCAUCUUCCCACUAAUGGUUCCCAGUUCAUAUUUUCUGGAAGAACCAGUAUGCAAGCAUGCUCUUUCCAAAUGGGGCUUUGGUAGCAGAUGGCAGGUCAAAUCCCUCAGGAAGUGAAGAUCAAGAAGAAAUGGUUGGAAAUUUUCCAGUUAACUCUGAGUAAUCAUGAGGUAAUCUGUAUAAUACAUAAACCCAUUCACACCACCUCUUCUCCAAAUUCCCCAGAAGCAUUAUUAAUCAGCAUGGCAAGCCGUUAAAAAAAGAAAGAAAGAAAAAGGAUGCCAGACUGUCUGGAAGGAAAGACUGAGCAAGAGGCAUGUUGCUGUAACAUGAGCAGACCAUUCUAUCAUCAAUGCAGUCCUAGAGGGCUCUGGUUUUAGCAUUUAUCAGCAUCAAGAACAUCCCAAAGUUUACUGAGCCAUGAGUGAUAGCAAAGUGAACACUUAAAUGCAAAGUAUCCGAGGAUUAUGCUGCCAAGCGUAAGAGGUUGCCAUGCUGAAUCAAGGAGUGUGCCGCAAGCACUUUGACUGCUGGUCUGUAAAACCCUACAUGCAAAUAGCCAAGGGCUGUACCAGAAGAUAAGAGCAGCAAGGCUGUGUUCAAAGGCAGGGGAGAGGAAGGUACUUAUGGCCAAGAGGAAGUCAGAUAAUGCUAACACAGCACACUUGGAAAAGCCAUUUCGUAUUACUGCAUCUGCUCUGCAGCACCUAUGGGCAGCAGAGGGAGGCAUGUUUUGUUCUCUCUUUCUUCCAAAAUAGGAAAUAAUCUGUAUUUUCAAAUUAUUUAUAUUGUCUUAAUUAAAAUUUAUAUGAAGCUUAAGACAUGUUCACUAUUAACCCAAUUUUAAUGAUAACAUAGAAGAUUGUAAUAGUCAAGAUUGAACAGUCAGUCACGUUGCUGGUAAGAGAUACCAGAACAGUGGAUCUGACUCCAAGUUCCUUUAGCACCAAGCUACAUUAAUUUCAUUAAAACUUGAGUUGCCCCGGGGUUUCUAAUCUCAGUAGUAUCUCUACUAAGUCCAAAGCCUUUUAUUUUCCAAGUCUACACUUCACCUACUAUUGAAUCUGGUGAUAGAUUUUUAUUAAAAUAAAUAUAGAUCCUUCCUUUCUAAGAAACACUGAAGUGAAAUUAUUUCUCUAUAAUGGUUCCCAUCUAGAAAAAAAAAAAAAAGCAUAUUCCUCAGACAUAAAUACUUUCUGAGCACCCACCACCUGCACCAUACUGUGUUAGCACUUGCUGAACUCACUAAAAUCUGAUAGUUUGUGGAAUUCCCAACAGCAAUAUAUUUCUCUCAAACCAACGAAAGUAGACAUUCAUAACCUUUCAGGGUUACUCAUAACCUAUUUGUGUUUACUUUUAAGAGGUGUACAGACACAAGAUUAUUCCAUUUCCUUCUGUGCUGUUCAAGGAGAGACGGUAUGAGCCCAGCUUCCGGAUGUUGAAUCAUAUGACUUGAACCAGAGGUCAGGUAAAGUGGUGGUCAACUUCAGGUUCCAACCUGCAAAACAGCCCACCUCUGGAAGCCUAGUCAUUCAGGGAGGUGAGCGUGCCAGACACCACAAACCCAGACUUGCUGGUAGAGGCCCCUCAAGCCAAACAGCAGCACAGCCAGUAAAGGGUGGUGGGAGGUAGAAAGCAAGCUCGAGGCUGGCAAGGGGGCGGAGUGAGUCACUUCUUUGAUGUGGAGUGGUUAUUACAAACACAGCAAAGGUGAGCAAGCAUUUCCUUCCCCUGACUACUGUGACUACUGGUGUAGGAAACUGAGUCAUGGGCUAGGACAGCUUUAGAGUUGCAGGAGAGGAAAAUUCUUAUUUAUAGUCUAACAUCAAUUUUACUAAGAUGCAUUUUGUCAAUCUGGUAAAUCUGCAGUCUGCCUUAUGUGGAUAAGCCAGUUUCCUACUUAUUUGCAAAAUAUUUUCUCACUGUUCUUUUCUUAGUAAAGAUGCUCUUUGAGAGUUGUAUACACUCAACCUGAUCCUUUAUAGGUAAUGAUUAUUUAAAGAAAUGCAUUCAUUUUGUAAUUUCAACACUAGGAAGGUAGAGACAGGAAGAUCAGAAGUUCAAGGUCAUCCUCAGAUAAAAGGCAAGUUCGAGGUCAGCCUCACCUAUAAAAGAACCUGUCUAAGAAAAAGGAGAUGGGAGGAAGAAAGAGAAGAAGAAAGAAAAGAACAUAAAUUCUUAACAAUACAUCCAAAAUGUUGGCUCACAUCAGUCAGAAUAAUGAUAUAAGACUUUCAGAGAAAGUAUCUGUGUGAAUUAUUGCAUUUCCUUCCCUAAGACCAGGCUUAAUAUUACCUCCUUUCAUCUCUUUUAUAAAUAUAUAUUUUAAUUUCCUAACCAGCAAAAAAAAAAAAAAUGCCUAAGUUUAAACACUAUUUACCUGAAGCAGAACAGAGCAAGAGGGUCUAUUCUGAGUAGAGUACAUUGAUUUCCUUGUUAUCGUUGGUUAAGAAUUUCAUCAAAUUGCAGGCCCUAAACUAGCCCGGUAUUUAUAAGUCAGCCAUAGUUUGGUGUUCUUAGUUUUGCCUGGCUAGGGCACUAUACUCACAGAAACGCUCUGUGAUUUUAUGAAUGAUUAUAUUUGUUACUUUUUACAUCACUGUCACAAACUUCCUAGCAGAAAGGACUUGAGGGAGGGUUUAUUUUGGCUAGGGACGGCCUGGUGUGGGGCAGGGGAGGCACAGGGCCAGGUGGUUCGCCUGCGAUAAUUGGAGUUUGCAGCAAAGCUUGCUUACAUCUUAGAAGAACAGGAAACAGCUUGUUAGAGCCAAAUACAGAGGGGAGUGCAGUUUCCAAAGACAGAGCCACUUCUGCUCACUGGGCCACAGUACCACAGGUUCCACAACCUUCUAAAACAGUGAGUUGUCUGUGGCAAUGCUGAAAUAUGUGAACCUUACCGCAACAGAGACAUCAUUUGUUUAUUUGACUUUAUUAGAAAAAGACUAGAUGUUCACUGCUGGAACCGUAUCAUCACUCCUUCCUUCCACGGUGCCACAAAAUCUUCAGUGUAAAUAAAUCACAAAUUGAAAGCUCAAAUCACAGAAGAAAAAAAAUGAUGGCUUAUAGACUUAUCCAUUUUCUUAUUAAUUGUUAAAAGUAAUAAUAGUAAUAAUGCCAGAGUCUGCUAUAGCCAUCAGGAAUAUAGCAAAACCAAAUAGGAACUCACAGGGAAAAAAAGCAACAUUUGUUUAUGUUAAUGGUGGUAAGUGCUUUUUAGCAAAACCAAUUAACAGAAGGGUAAGGAGCAGGAAGAAGGGGUGUAAUUUCAAAUGGGGUGACCUGGGAAGUCUCACUAAGAAGGUUGCAUCACAAUUACGGUAAACUUGACCCUCAGUAACUACUGAAAUCCAGAAAUUGUUCUGGACUGAUGGUGAAAUCCACAAGGUUUGAAAAUGAUCAAGUGACCUACAUGAGGACAAUUUUCUCUUGCAUUAGGAAUUAUAUCUUACCCACACCUUAUGACUCAGAAGGUAUUAAUUUUUAUCUUCCUAACUCUGGUAGCCAAAUGUUAGGAUUGAGUCAGGCAAAUAUUUCCCAAAUGAGUUGUAGAAUGUACCCUUACUCACGAUAGCACCACUAAAACCAGCAGACGUGUUCCUGGGCGGUAGAAACUUGUGUCUGAGACAUUUGCAUAUUUAGAGGUGUUUUUAUUCCUUUAAAAGAACAUGACUGAGAAUCACUUUUAUAGCUAACAAGAGCCAGAGUAACUCAUGUUAAAGAAUAGGAUUUAAUUGAUAGUUUAGAAGUUGAAAACUUCUGAGUAAAAGCUAGCCCCAAAGCAUUUCAUGGUGAAAAAAAAGUUUCAUAAUUUCCUUAAAAAUAUUCCAGAUGAUAACUGAUUGAACUUUAAAAUAUUGGCUUUGGUAUAUUUUUUUCCUCCCACGAAGAAAAUGCUUGUAAGAGCAAAAAAUCCAUUCUAAGUGGCUCUGAGGGAGUUCAUGUUUUGUUUAAGAAUUGUGGUUUCUCUUGGCUAGCAAACAUACAGAAAUAGUUUCCCUGGUGUAAAACAUUAGAAUGACAGACUCUUGUUGGGAAUGGAUAGAAAUAGACAUAAUUACAACUGUAACUACAGGGAAAAGAAGGCAAAUGAUCAAACAUUUAUUGGGCUUAAGCACAGUAAAUUGUCAACUCCAAAAAUCAUGAUUUGUUUAAUAAAAGUCAAUACCACUGCAUUCAUGUCCAAAUCUAGAGAAAAGAGACUUGGAGCCAGAUUGGUACACUGGGAGUUUGUUGGCACUGCUGCUGAGAGGGACGAGCCCGAGAAAAUGAAAGUAGAACUUGGCAAACAAGAAUGGAUCCUGCAGUUCAGUAGUCCAAAGCCAACAGCCAGUCCCUUGUAGAAUUUUGAAGGUGGGAUGACACUUCAACAUUCUGCUCAGCUGAGACAAGCGGUUCCCUUUGACCAAAGGCAUAUCUGAGGCUGGGAAUUUAUCCGUGACUUGUUACCAGCCAAUGUGGCAGCCAGGACAUGAAUUCCAUGGCUGUGAAAGAGAACUUGGAAGACCUCAGCAUCUGCAGCAGACAGUACGGCUUCAUCUCUGAUACAAGAAUGGUGAAAGAUGCACGGACUUCACUGUGUCGCUGCAUAGGUUGGAGUGUGGGGUGGCAUGCCCUUUCAAAACUGAAAAUCUGGAACCACAUUGCAGUCUGCGUGUUUAUUAAAGGCAGGUACAGCUAGCAACCCCACUUGGUCUGGUACAAAAGGAAACGCAGGUUCUCUUGUUCAAAAGGAGGAAGAAAGAUGCUGCUGAUGGUCCCAAGGCAUACAUUUUCUAUUCCUUCUUGAUGGGUGCUCUACAUUUUAGGAUGUUUCAUUUGCUAUUUAAUGCUGUUCUAGAUAAGAAAAUUUUACUUUAAAAUCGCAUUUAGGAUUUGUGCUAAGUGAGGUAUAAUCUGAUCUUACCAGAAAACUGAACAAGGAAGCUGUGUGAAGAGUAGAGAGGGGGGUGGGAGACAAACAAACAAAAAGGUGUGUAAGAGUAGGGGGUGGGAACAGACAGGUAUGUUAACUUUAUUCAUACGGUGAUUUUUUUUUUACUUUCUAUACAUAAUCUGCAAUAUUUUUUACAUGCCUUAAAUACACACAAAAAUAAUUUUUAAAAUUCAUGUAUAAAAGGCAGACAGCUCGUAUAGGCUUGUGCAUUUUAUUCUUGCUUGAACAGGGAAAGUGGAUGUUUAGUCAAUUGUUGUAUUUAGUGUCCUCAUAGAAUCAUAUUUUACUAGUACUCUCUCCUUUCAACUUUGUAAUUAAAUGUGGACUUAAAAGCAACUCUGGAUUGUCAUAGCUCUUCCUUUCCUUUCUUGCCAUAAUUUUUAGUGUAAAUGUCUGGCUUGUAUGCAGACAACACAAGCACAGACAGAUAUGAUAGUGUUUCUAGGGUACUAUGUGUGCAUGUUUUUCCUAACUGUGGAUGUACUGUGUCCAUCCAUCCUUCAUUACCAAGACUAUGCCCUCAAACUAUGAGCCAAAAUAAAUGCUUCCUGCCUUAAGUUUUAUUUGUCAAGUAUUUUGUCACAGAAAAGAGAGAAAUAAUAUAGAAAAUAGUUUCCAAGAGUGGUGUCCUUGCUGUGAUAACAAACCUGACCAUGUGGUUCUUAGCAUUUUUAGGAAGUGGUUUGCAAGAAAAGUGUGAAAGAAUUUGGAACUUUGGGAUAGAUAAGCCAUAUUAAGCAUGGCUUAAUGGAAGUUUGAGUGGCAGGAGUUUGAAAGACUAGAAUGUCUUUAGAAAAGUCAAGAAAACGCAGAUGGAGGUCUGGUUCAUGAAGCUUCAUGUAGAAACAAGUAUGCUAGUGAGAGCUGGGCCAGUAUAUUCUGGCAAAGAAUUUGACUCAAGUCCUUGAGCUAAACUGGAAAGUAAUUGACUAAUGUGUGUGGGGGGGGGGGUGGAGAAUGUCAAGACCAGAUAUCAUUCAGUCUGUUUCAUGGUUUCUGCUCACUGCUAGUAUCCAAGUCUACAGUGAGAGAAAGCAACAUGGAAGCAAAGUGAUGUAGAAAAUGUGUCAUUUGGUGAAGAAAGGAAGGAAUCUAAUAUUGCUGACAAAGGGAGUGCUGAGAAAGUAGCUGUAACUAUUAAAGAUGUUACCACCAUAUGGUGGUUUAAAUGAAAAUGGCCCCAUAGGCUCAUAGGGACUGGCACUAUUGGGAAGUGUGGCCUUGUUGGAGUAGGUGUAGCCUUGUUGAAGGAAGUGUGUCACUGGAGGAAGGUUUUGAAAUCUCAGAUACUUAAGCCAGGCCUAGUAUAUCUCAGUCUCUUCCUGCUGCCUAGAAAUCCAUAGGCAGAAUUCUCAGUUCCUCUCCAGUCCCUCGUUUGCCUGCAUGCAACCAUACUUCUUGCCAUGCUGAUAAUGGACUGAACCUCUGAAACUAUUAGCCAGCCCCAAUUAAAUAUUUUCCUUUAUAAAAGUUGCUAUGGUCAAAAAGUUCUCUUUGAAGCAAUAAAACCCUAACUAAGACACACCAUGAAAAAGAAACCUGUGAAUAUGGACAAGAUCUAGCCACUGAAAUCUCCAUCUUGUUAAAAUUUAAAUACAAGUCUGUGGCUCCAGGGGUUGCUCUUCCUUCAUUUGGUACAGAUGCAGCCUGAAAUCAUCCUGAGUGAGGUAACCCAGACCCAGAAAGACAAACAAGAUACAUACUCAUUCAUAAGUGGAUAUUAGACGCAAAGCAAAGGAUAACCAAGCUACAAUUCACAACCCCAGAGAAGAUGGGUAACAAGGAGGACCCUAAGAGAGCCACACAUGGAGGGCCUCAGGUAGAAGAAACAGUUAAGAUCUCCUGGGUAAACUGGGAGGGAGCAGAAGGGAGGAGAUGGGAACAUGAGGGGAUUGAGAUGGCCAAGUUGGGAAGGGACAGAGAGGGAGAGCAAUGAAUGACAUACCUUGUAAGAAGGAGUCAAUAUGGAAUUAGGGAGAAACCUGGUGCUAGGACAAUUCUCAGGAAUCCACAAGGACUACCCCAGUUAAGACUCCUAGCAAUAGUAGAGAAGGUACCUGAACUGACCUGCCCCUGUAAUCAGAUUAGUGACUAACCUAACUGUCAUCAUAGGACCUACAUCCAGUAACUGAUAGAAACAAAUGCAGUGAUCCACAGCCAAGCUCUGGGCUGAGCUCCUGGAGUUCAGUUGAAGACAGGGAGAGUGUAUCAUAUGAACAAGGGGGCAUCAAGAGCAUGAUGCAGAGAUCCACAGAGACAGCUAACUCAAGUUCAGAACUAUGGACUGACAGCUGGGGAACCUGCAUAGGACCAAAGUAGGCUCUCUGAAUAUGGGUGACAGUUGUGUGGCUUGAUUUGUUUGUGGGGUCCAUGCCCGUGGGACCAGGACUUAUCCUGGGUGCAUGAACUGGCUUUUUGGAGCCCAUUCCCUAUGGUGGGAUACCUUGCUCAGCCUGGAUGCAGAGGGGAGGGGAUUGGUCCUGCCUCAACUUUGGUAUACCAGACUUUGUUGACUCCCCAAAGGAGGCCCUACCCCCUCUGAGGAGUGGAUGGGUGGUGGGAUGGAAGGAGGUCGGGGGCUGGAGAAGGGGAAGGAAGGGGAACUUGGGUUGGUAUGUAAAAUGAAAAAAAUAAAUAAAAAUAUUAAUAAAGGUAAUGACAAUUUUUUAAAAGUAAAAAAAAAAUUCAAAUACAUUUGAAAGCAAAAACCUAUACUGAAAAUGUUACUGAAGGGGUUCCUUCCUUUUUCUAGAAAAGUAUUUCCCCAGAGUCAGCCCUGAAAGGCACAGAGGGACUAAUGCAACUGAGUGAGGGGGGGGGGGCAGACUACAACUCAAGCAAGUAGCAGAACUAGACAGCAUCACGCAUAUGGUACUGUGGUGGGCAUGAUACAUGAUACAAGGGAGUGAUAGAGGUUUGGGCCAAGGUUUCAGAAGGCUACUGAAGCCAGCGAUGCAAGGUGUGGCAAGAUUAGAGCUCCUGCAAUGAGGCCCAAAGAACCCAUGAUAUGGAGCUGUGAGGUUGAAGCCUAAGUCAUUGGAAAACUCAGGGUGUUGGUGAUGCCAGUACUAUAGAAUAUCUGUACUGAGGAAAGCUGUGUGCACAAAGUGUCAUUUGCCCAAGAGAAAAGCUGUGUGUGCUGACCCCUGGGGCCCUGAUAGUUCUGACAUGCCCCGGGUAGCUGUGUGCUGAACCUCUGGAGCCCUGAAGGUUCUGUCAUGCCCCAGGUAGCCAACAUCAUGCUGCAAGAGUUGGAGUUUUUUUUCUGCUGACUUUAGUUUUGUUUUGAUUCAGGAAUCAGGAUACCUUGAUUCCUCUCUUUGGGGAGAGAAACACCAUUUUGUUUUGGUAUUGUGCAAUUCGGAUGUUACAGGAGCUCACUGUUGAAAGGUUGCCUGAGUUUCAGAAGACACUCCACACUUACUUUGGACAGUGUUUGAACUGUUAGUGUACAGAAUUUUUGAGGCUUGUGUUAUGAGAUGUUAUGUGUCUCUGGAGACAAGUGGUAAAGGACUGUGACUUGAUAGUAAUGUGGUCGAAAGUCAGGUUAACAAAGGGCCAACUCCUGAUGGUUGAUAUUGAUUGCCAAUUUGACAGACUCUAGAAUCACUCAGUGAGGGGGGAAUGGGGCUGCUGGGUUGAUCCAGGCUUGUAGACCACUGAUAAUUUUGGCAGAAGUUCCAAGAUGAUUGGUCAUGUAUGAGAAAAGAGAAAAUAAAUCCAGGAGGAACUUGAUAAAUACUGCCAGUAAGAACUGCAUCACAUGCCAGUUAACACUGAUUGCACCUGUAGUUAAGUCAGAUGCCAUGCUCCAUCUUUUUGUAUAGUGCCUAGUGAAUCAUUCAGAAAUCCUGUGAAAUGUGAAGCACUGGUAAUAGCACUUUCAAAUGAAGAUGCCAAGGAUUAAAAUGAACAUGGAGCUUAGUAGUUUUCUGCUUGACUUCAGGUCUUUUAACUCAAAAACAGCUAAGACCUAGCAAUACUAAUGACAGCAAAAAAUGAUAAAAUUAAUGCAGGGUUGAAAAGUUAUGACAGAUGCACUGAACUUUCGGUUUAAGAUAUCUUAAUGUUAAGUGAUCCAUCCAGAGGAUUACAAGACCCUGAAGAACUAGUGUGUAAGGGAUUUACAGGAGUUGGCACUGAACAUGUUCAACUCCUCUCAAUAAAAUGGUAUGUCUAAAUUACCUCUAAGUCCUAGCACUAUUCCCAAAUUCUCUCUUUUCCAUAAAGAAAGUUUCCUGAUUCCUCAUUUGGAAAGUAUUUCUUCUUCCUUAUAUCUUAAAAUAAUAUAUAUUCCUAGAUUAAACAGUCACUAGGUUAUCUCUUUCAUUCAUAUAAUUUUCUAAAACUUUUAUGCUUUUGAUUGAGGUCAAGUCAAUGUGUAACAAAAUCUACAUAUCUAUAUAAUUCAUUGAGUUUUUGUAAAUACAUAUUUAAGAGACAGUUAUUUAAACAAAAUAUAGCUUAUGAUAGAAUAGUUAGUUCUGCAAACACAGAAAACAUAGAAGGUUUCUCCUUCUAUGACCACCAUCUUCCAACAAUCCAUCAGAGCCUAGCUUGGACAAUAAAACAUCAUACAAAUAGUCAUACGGCAUGUAUUCUUUCAUGUGUGAUUUGUAUCCUUUACAUAACUUAGAUUUGGUCAUACUGUUGUAGUCUCCCUUUUUACACUAGCUAGUACUGCCCCCUUACAAACAUCAAUAACCAUGCCCAUCUCCUGUGUUGCUUCUGACCCUGAGCUGUUAUGAAUGAGUGACUAUGCUUGUUCUUGUGCACAGAUGCCUAUGUUUACUUCUUUCAGGGGUGGUGAUAAACUAGUUCUGCCUUCUUUUGUUGAUCAGCAUGGUUGAACUUAAUUUUUAAUACUUUAGUUAGUAUGAAAUGGAGCCAUUGUGGUUUUAAUUUAAACAUUCUUUUCUUGUCCCUAUUAACCAUUCAUAUAUCCUCUAUGAUACAAUGGCCAGGUCUUUUGCCCAUUCUUUUUAAACUGAAAUUUUCUUUUUUAAUCUUUUUAUUAUGCAUUAGUACUGGCUUUUUCCCUUUUUUUUUGAAAAACAUCUUUUUUUUCCCCCUCAAAUACAUCUUGAUUAUGGUUUGCCCUCACUGUACUCCUCCCAGUUCCUCCCCACAACCCCUCCCAUCUGGAUCCAACCCCUUUCUGUCUCUCACUGGAAAACAAUUUUCUAAAGGAUAAUAGUAAAGCAAAAUAGGAUAAAACAAAAACUAAUGCAUCAAAAUAGGAAAAAAUAAAAAGGGAAAGACACGCCCCAAAAGGAACAUGAAACAGACAUAGAUUCCGAGUUCCACUUGUUUAUACACUCAGGAAUCCCAUAAAAACACUAAACUGGAAGCCAUUAUCUAUACAAAAAGGACAUGUAAGGUAAAAAGAGAAGUUUGUUUUGUUUUGUUGGGUUUUUUUUAAGCCCCGACAUGACAUUAUGAGACAAGCAACUUCCAAUGAUGCUGUGGAUGCUGUUGAGUUCAUUUUCUAUUGAUCAUCUAUUGCUCAUCACAUAGCCUACCUUUAAGAGCAUUUUGUUUCCCAAAUGAGACUCCACUGGAGAAAAGUAAAUUUUUUAUUUGCAAGUGGCUAUCAAUUGGAGAUAGCUUCUGGGUUAGGGAUGGGCGCAUAUGCCCACUUCCUUAAGCUCUAGCACCCAUCUGGUGCAGAACUGUGCUGCUUUAGUCUCCGUGAGAUCAUGAGAGCUUUGAUCAUGUUGAUUUAAAGAACUUUGUUUUCUUGGUGUCCUCCAUGCCCUCUGGCUCUUAGACUCUUUCUGCAUCUUCUACAGGAUCCCCCGAGCCCUGAGGGGAGUGAUUUGAUGGAGACAUCCAUUUUGGGCUGAGUAUUUUAAGGUCCUCCAUCCUCUGCAUAAUGUCUGCAUGUGGGUCCCUGUAUAAGUUGCCAUCUUCUGUGGGAGGAAGCUUCUCUGAUGAUGGCUGAGCAAGGCACUGACCUAUGAGUACAGCAGAAUGUCAUUAGGAACCAUUUUAUUGCUACAUUCUUUUGUCUGGUUUACCCUAGGUUCCUGGACUUUCUUCACCAUCAAAGCAAUGUCAGGUAUCAUCUUCCACAAUGGGGCCUUGCUGUCAGUCUGUGAAGAGCAACCUACAAUCUUAGCAAUAGCCUGCAUUGAUCAGGAGUUCAAUGAGAAGGCCUAACAACUCAAUUAGAUGUAACUAAUUCCCGGCACUGGAAGUUUCAUUUACUGGCAAGAGAUGUCUCGUUCGGACUUUGAACCAUCCUUGCAUCUCCGGGAUGAAGCCUACUUGAUCAUGGUGAAUGAUCUUUUUGAUGUGUUCUUGAGUUUGAUUUGUAAGGGGUAUUUUUUGAGAAUUAUUGCAUCUAUGUUCAUAAAGAAAAUUGGUUUGUAGUUCUUAAAGUCAUUUGCUUGGAAUAACUUUACCAUUCUUUUACCCUGAGGUGGUGUCUACCUUGAUGUUAAGGUGUGUUUCUAGGAUGCAGCAGAAGGAUGGAUCCUAUUUUCUCAUCCAUUCUGUUAGUCUGUGUCUUUUACUGGGGAAUUGAGACUAUUGAUAUUUGAGAGAUAGUUGUUGAUUCCAGUUAUUUCGCUGGUGUGUGUGUGUGUGUGUGUGUGUGUGUGUGUGUGUGUGUGUGUGUGUUGUUUGUGUGUGUUGUGUGUUGUGUGUGUUGUGUGUUUCCCUUCUUUAGAUUUGCUGGUCUGAAUUAUUCUUUGUGUUUUCUUGAGUGGAGCCAGUGGAAGUGGGAAGGCUGCAGUAGGUGGUCUGAUACAAAGCUGUGGAUGAAACUGGGGGAUUGAUUUGUGAGAGAGAGAAAGGAAGAAGAGGUGAAGAUCUGUAGUUAUCCUACCUGCUUCCCUGGCUAGAGUGGCCUGCGGGUUCCCAGGAAAUGCCUGCUAGAGUCAGCGGGCUGGAAUAAUGGGAUGAGUGGGUAAGGACGUUUGGAGGGGAAGAUCUGUGUGACCCACUGGAUUUGGGACCAUUUGUACUAACUUUUAAAUAGUCUAGAUAAAAAUCUUUGUUUUUAGUUUAUCUUGUUUUGUUUUGGGGAUUUUGUUUGUUUGUUGUUGUUUUUUAGAGAAAGUCUCACUAUGUAGCUUUGCUGGAGUGGAACAAAGUCCUGGAAGGCCUGUGCCUCUACAACUGGCAAAACCUUUGUUUUUAUGUGUUUUUUUCUUUUUUUCCAAUCUCGGCUUUAUUUUUCACUUUAUCAACUGUACCAGUGUUGGGCAAAAUCUCCCAGACAUAGCCAGGAUUUAGAACUAUCUCCAGCUUCUUUAUGGAAUAUUUGUCUAAAUAUACAAAGAUGUUUGUUUAAUUAUGUAAUGACAUGCUGUUGUUUUACCUUGCCUGUCUAAGGCACAUAAUUGGUCUAAUCAAAAGCUGAAUGGCCAGUAGGGAGGGAGGAGGUUUAGGCAGGAGUUCUGGGAAGAGAAAAUGAGUAAGAGGAGAAAUUUAGGCAGGGGUGGUGGAAAGAAAGAAUAAAAGACACCAGGAAGACAUUAGGGGACAGACAGACAAGGAAGAAGCAGGGAAAUAGGGCAUAAAGAAUGAAAGAAAGGUAAAACGACUCAAAGUAAAACAUAAAUGAAUAGAAACGGGUUAAAUUAAGUUAUAAGAGCUAGUGGGACAAGCCAAAGCCAAGGCUGAGAAUUCAUAAUUUAUAGUAAGUCUGUAUGUCUUUAUUUGGAAGCUGGUUGGUAGUCCAAAGAAAAUUCCAACUAUACAGGCUACCAUAUUUGAAAGUCUUCUUCUUCACCCUUUCUCUGGUCCCUCUAGAUAAGUUAUGGGUUUUUUUUAUAACAAAGUUGUUCUAUAAAUGCUCAUUUAUUUUAAAAUUUCAUCAUUAUAUUGAAAUUGGAACAUUAUUUUGUUUGACUAGUUUGUCUCAAAGUUGUUACCUACUGGAAGGGAUUUUUUGUUUUGUUUUGAUGGUGGUGGUGAUAUUCUCUCUCUCUCUCUCUCUCUCUCUCUCUCUCUCUCUCUCUCUCUCUCUCUUUCUGUGUGUGUGUAGGGGGGUUGGUUGGUUGGUUGGUUUGAUGGUUAGUUUGAGAUUUGAUAAUAAUAUGUAGCCUUGUCUGGCCUGGGACUUACUCUGUAGACAAGGCUUGUCUCAGACUUACAGAGAUGCUACGUAUCUCUGUCUCCCAAUUGCUGGAAUUAAAAGUAUGCAUCACUAGACCCAGAGGCCAGCUAAAGUUUUGAGUAGAAUAUAGAAUAUUCUGGGUAGUGUGUUAAAUUAUAUCCUAGUUGAAUACUAAAUUCCUAUGAUAGUUCAUUUUAACAAAUUCUUUCUGAUACAAAAGUCCCCCAAAACCUAGUGCCAGCCUUCCCCCUUAACUGAUCUCAUGUUGAGCCACCAAAUAGUAGAUGAUACAAUAAACACACAUCAUUUAGAAACUGUCUCCCAGGCAUAUAUAGCACUGCAGAGAAAAGUAUUAUCAAAAAAAAUCUCAUUCUGUCACAAAAUGAAGUAUUGAGAAUAUUUUAUUCCAUUUUAUUUCUGAUAUUAUAACUGAAAUUCCAGAAGGCAUGCCAAUUUCAAGUAGUUUCUGUUCUUUUUUUAAACAUGUUAGUAUAAUGGACUAUUAAGUUAAAUGAGACCAUCAGUUUCAAAUAAUGGAGUCAAAUUAAAUUUAAUAGACAUCACUAUUUGUGUCUGUGCUCAUGACAGAACACACUAUAACUUCCUUUGACAUGUACCAGCCUACCCUCAGGUCCCCUUCCUCAAUUCCUUAAGUCACCUCAAGUGACACAUCAAUGCCAAUGCUCAUUUCAGGAUUUCUCCCUAAUUUUGUCUCUGGUGUUCUAUUUAUCUGACAAUUAUUUCAUUGUUCACACUCAUUUUGUAUCUUUGCUCUUACAAAACUAUCAAAUUGCCCUCCUCACACUAGGUUGACAUCAUACUCAUCCUCUGAGCCAUUACCAGAAUUACCUUCCUCAAACAAAACAAAUGUGAUCAGGUCAGCCCUUCCAGUGACUUUCAAAGUCUUCCUCAUGUCCCUAAGGACCAAUUACACCAAACCCGACCCAAAUUAACACUGUAACCUCCAUGGCACCGUCCUCUCCACAACUUCUCACUUUCCCUUCUGUGUUUUCAACAAAUUGAUACUGCUUUCCAAUACCCACUUCCUCCUUCCUGCCUUCAGGUGAGCUUACCUCACUCCAGGUGCAGCACGAACAUUGCCUCAUUGCUGAAGAAUUCCACACUUCUUUCUGACAAGGUGUCAUUAACAAGAAGACAGUGUGUGGAAAUAUUAGGCAGACUGGCUUCUGUUUCAAAAGUCACCAUGAGACAGUGAAGGUACUAAAUUAAUUGAGUCAGAAGACAAUGGUUAAAAAUGUCUGGAGGGAGCUGUUCCGUGCUUACAGGCACUGCUUCCUCACCUGGAUGCCGCACUUCCUCCCUCUCUGACAGGAUUAACAUGAACGCUGCCCAGCGGUCUAUGAAGGCUGCUUCACCUUCCAGUUCAACAAUGCUUCCAUUUAAGAAGCAUCAGAACACAGAAAUCACCACAGGAGACCUGACUCAACUUGUUCCUCCAUUGGAGAGAAAGAUUAAAGUGUUUUUUUCACCUACUUCCCCCUCUUCACCCCCAUCACCUCUUAAUCCUCUAUCCGGCUGAUUCACAGCAGCUGUUAAAUAACUAGACAUUUAGGUAAAGGCAGACUGAACCUAUAAAUCAGCGUGUGUGAUAUAAUAACCAGCCUGCUCAUGCUGUCUUGGUUUGCUAUUUUUAUGCUGACUUCAGCUGCAGCAUCUAUAUGAAGGGGUUUAGAGCAAUUGUAAAUACUAAUCUCUGGGAUGCCAAUGUCAACAUGGAAAUAUAUACAAGUCAGUGAAACCCCCAUUACAUUCAUAGAGAUGAGUAUAGGACUGUCUGCGAACAUACUGAAUAGUAAAAAAAGAGAAAUAGAAAGUGAAGAAUUGUUAGAGAAUGAGGAGGGGAGUAGUAACUGAGAAGGUGGACUCUCGAAUUUGAGAUCAAAUUCCCUUGGAAGGGAAUGCACUCAUUUAUGCCACUACAGUGUUUGGCAACAGAUGAAGAAAAAAACAAACAAACAAACAAACAAACAAAAACCUGCUCCUAGGUAUGGUAGGGAAAGGGUUUAUUGUAGAUAUGAGAGAGAGCAUAGCCAGAGGCAAGAACAUCAGGGAGAGUCCAGAGCGAACAUGACCCCGAGCUGCUUCAUGAGAGAGGAGUAAGGGGGAGGGUACCCAAAAUGGCUGGAUUAUAUAGGGAAGGACAUCUCCGGGAAGGGAAGCCCAACCUCGUGGUGGAGAAGUUUAGGGUGAUAUGUUAAAUAAGCUCCUCAGUUAGCCAUUUGUCCCAGGUUUGAGAUCUAACACAUAUGUAUCCUCCAAACCUGUUAAAAAUCUCCCUAGUACCUGGGUGAAUAUUUGUUAGGACUGUCUAGCUGUGAAUGACAAAAACCAACAUCAGCUGGUUUCAAAUUCGGAAGAUACAAGAUUUCACAGGGAAGCCCAUUUGCAGACAUGUUGUACAUCCGAAGGAGCUGGCCGCAGAGCCAAGAAAUUUCUGAGCCAUCUAAAAUCUCUGCAUUUCAUCUCUCCCAACCCACCCAACCAUUUGUUUUUCUCGCUUUCGAUUAAUUUGUUCCCUUUGUGUAGCAGAUAUUUCUGGUUUAGCAAAUCCAUUGUCCUUUUCAUCUAAGUACAUAUCGGAAUCACAUGUUCUAGUAAUGUGAGCAUGUAGCUCCAUUCUGGCUUCUACUUCAAGGGCUGGUUCAUAAGCACCAGCUCCUCACCUCCUCUGCUCCACACACUUCUACCUACGCUUUCCAUCUGCUACCAGGAUGAUGAAGACUGAGACCGUGGACGUUGUCUGGGAACCAAAAGCUUAAAGAAUCUUGUUCUCUCCACAGUGCAACCUCUACCAAGAAGCUCCGCCCACUUCAGCAUCUACCAGGAAGCUCCUCCUACUUCAGCAUCCACCAGGAUGAUGCUCCUGCUUCAGCUUGCACUUGACGUGAAUGAGAAGUCAAAUGCUAUCCUAAUUCCUAUCCCCUUAAGCCAUUAAAAAUUAAGAUUUCUCAGCUGGGCAGUGGUGGCACAUGCCUUAAAUCCCAGCAAUUGGGAUGCAGAGGCAGGUGGCUCUCUGUGAGUGCGAGGCCAGCCUAGUCUACAGAGAGUUUUCCAGGACAGGCUCCAAAGUCACACAGAGGAACCCUGUCUCAAAAACAAAAAUAAGAUUUCUCUUUAAAGUGAGUAGUUAUCACUCUGAAGUGCCUUUCUUUUAUGUCAAUGAUCUCUUUUUCCUAAUUUGUGAAACCAGACUGAUUCCUGACCCAACAGGUCAGUCCUAUCCUUGAAAGGAGCAAUUUUGAUGAGGAAGGUGGGUUGUGAUACUAAAAAACACUAGUACAGGGUUUACCAUGUGAACAUGCAGUUGUUAGAACACAGUAAGUACGAGGCUUGUUUCAACUCUACUACUAACUCAGUGAGCUGACUUCACCCACAUAUGGUCUCCUUGAGCACCAGCCCCCUCCUCUUGGAGCCAGAGCUUUAGGUGAGAUUAAUUACCUCCAAAGUCUUUUGCAACUAUAGUAUGUUCUCCUUAAUGCUUCAUGCUAUACCUACAAAGCAACUCUUACACAGUGAAAGAGAAUUUCCCUGAAUGAUUUUUGCAAUUGAAUAACCUAAUGCCAAAAAUGUCAGUGACAAUUCUGAGAUACCCUGCUUAGUACCCUGACAUCAUGGGAACACACACACACACACACACACA